GUGUCUUAUGAGGCUUUGUCUCCUUCCUAUAGAGUGUUUGUUGCCUCUCUUCAAACUGUGUCAAUCCCAAAGGAUUGGAAGAUUGCAAAGCAAGAUCCGAAGUGGCAUGAAGCAAUGAUAGAAGAGUUGGAAGCACCGAGAAAAAAUAAGACGUGGGUGCUAACCACAUUGCCGGCAGGAAAGAAAGCAGUGAGUUGUAAGUGGAUCUAUACAGUGAAGCAGAAUCCUGAGGGGAAGGUGAAACGGUAUAAGGCCAGAUUGGUCGCCAGAGGAUAUAGUCAAACUUAUGGAAUUGACUAUGACGAGACGUUUGCUCCAGUGGCAAAGAUGAACACAGUAAGGAUAUUGGUUUCCUGUGCUGCAAACUUUGGGUGA
rnacentral:rRNA from 1 species